rnacentral:lncRNA from 1 species
AUCGCAGUUGCAACUAUGUGUUGUCAACAAUGAUUGCGACAAAACCCUCGAUUAGGACACAUUAAAUAUUAUCAAAAGAGGGACGAAAAAUACCAAAGGGACAGUCAAACUCAUAAAUCUAAAACAAACUGACAACGCCAUGGCUAAAAAUGAAAAAGACAAACAGAAAAACAAUAGUACACAUGACACAACAUAGAAAACUAAAGAAUAAACAACACAAACCCCACCAAAAACUAGGGCUGAUCUCAGGUGGUAAGCAGAUCCUGCUCCAA